UACGUAGGGUGCGAGCGUUAAUCGGAAUUACUGGGCGUAAAGCGUGCGCAGGCGGUUCGUUGUGUCGGUGGUGAAAGCCCCGGGCUUAACCUGGGAAUGGCCAUGGAAACUGGCGAACUGGAGUGUGGCAGAGGGGGGUGGAAUUCCGCGUGUAGCAGUGAAAUGCGUAGAUAUGCGGAGGAACACCGAUGGCGAAGGCAAUCUCCUGGGCCUGCACUGACGCUCAUGCACGAAAGCGUGGGGAGCAAACAGG
rnacentral:rRNA from 1 species